rnacentral:lncRNA from 10 species
ACACUAGUUAAAUAUUUGCCUGAAGCUCACUCUGUACAUUUGGGCAUAAGAAAAGCUCUUCAGACUGUGGUUUUGAGGCAAAGUGACACAAGGGAGUACAGAUCCUCUUCAGCAUGACCAAGGACAGAACCCAGAGGGCUAACAAAGAAGCACCAUGGAGUUGGUACACAGACCUCUGAGAACGGAUCCUAAAUGGCUAUCGCUGCUACCUGGCAUCUCACCAGAGAACUGGUUCUGGAAGCUCUCAAGGAAGGUUGAAGCUUUUAACUGCUACUGACCAAUACAGGAAAAACAGAAAUGUUGCUUGUUUGGACAAUCAUAUCGUGUCCGGAAUUGGUGAGUUCUUGGUCUCACUGACUUCAAGAAUGAAGCUGCGAACCCUCACGGAGCUGUGUCCAGUUUUCCUGUAUGCCUUUAAGUUUUCUGAAGACAAAACACACCCAAAGGAAAUUGAUAUUGGCUACUGGAAAUACAGGAUAAUAUUUUCAAGGUGUGUGAACUAAGCCCCUCAUCUUAACAUUGUGUUCUGAGAAUCCCAAGGGAUAUUUU